GUCAGUUUAUUGCUACUGUUUUCUGCAUGUCAAUGUAUCUGCUCCUAUGACCAUGAGAUCAUGCAACUCCCAGACACCGGAGGAAUACCUUGUGUGUAUCAAACGUCGCAACGUAACUGGGUGACUAUAAAGGUGCUCUACAAGUAUCUCCAAAGGUGUCUGUUGGGUUGGCAUGGAUCAAGACUAGGAUUUGUCACUCCGUGUGACGGAGAGGUAUCUCGGGGCCCACUCGGUAAUACAACAUCACGACAAGCCUUGCAAGCAAUGUGACUAAGGAGUUAUUUACAGAAUGUUGUAUUACGGAACGAGUAAAGAGACUUGCGAGUAACGAGAUUGAACUAGGUAUGCUGAUACCCACGAUCAAACCUCGGGCAAGUAAAAUACCGAAGGACAAAGGGAAUAGUAUACGGGGUUAUAUGAAUCCUUGACAUAGAGGUUCAACUGAUAGAGAUCUUUGUAGAAUAUGUAGGAGCCAAUAUGGACAUCUAGGUCCCGCUGUUGGUUAUUGACCAGAUAGUGUCUCAGGUCAUGUCUGCAUAGUUCUCGAACCCGCAGGGUCUGCACACUUAAGGUUCGGUGACGUUUCCGUAUAGUUGAGUUAUAUGUGUUGGUGACCGAAGUUUUGUCCGGAGUCCCGGAUGAGAUCUCGGACGUCACGAGGAGUUCCUAAAUGGUCCGGAAAUGAAGAUUGAUAUAUAGGAAGUUGGUAUUUGGAUUCUGAAAGGUUUUCGGGCAUUGCCCACAGUGUACCGGGAGUGACGAAUGGGUUCCGGGGGCCCACUGGGUGGGCCCACCACGCCCAAGGGGUCUACAUGGGUUUAUUGGAUGUGAUAAGGCAUAAUAGGCUGACAAAGUCAUCCAGGGAAUGCCCAUGAGGAAAAAGUGGAAAAUCCAAAAGAGGUGGGAAAUUAAGGAAGGAGUCCUAAUCCAAGUGGAGUUGGAGGAGGACUCCUGCCUCCUCCACUUCGGCCGACCCAAGGGAGCCUCCCUUUUGGCGCCAAGGCUGCCUCCUACCUCCUCCUAUAUAUACUGUAGGUUUAGGGCUUUUUGAGACACAACUUUGCCACGUGCUGCCCUCUCCUCUAGAUCGGUUUUCUGCGAAGCUCGGGCGGAGCCAUGCAGGAAUAGAUCACCACCACCAUCGGAGCGCCGCCACGCUACCGGGGAACUGAUCUACAUCCCCGUCUCUCUUUCUGGAUCAAGAAGGCGGAGAUCGUCAUCGAGCUAUACGUGUGCGGAACGCGGAGGUGACGUCCGUUCGACACUGGAUCGGGACGGAUCACGAGACGGUUCGUGGGAUGGAUCGUGAAGAUGUACCACUACAUCAACCGCGCUUAUUAACGCUUUCGCUUAGCGAUCUACAAGGGUAUGUGGAUCCGAUAUCCCUCUCGUAGAUGAUCAUCACCAUGAUAGGUCUUCGUGUGCAUAGGAAUUUUUUUAUUUCCCAUGCAACGUUCUCCAAGAGUAGCAUCAUGAGCUAGGUUCAUGUGUAGAUGUAAUCUCGAGUAGAACACAAAAGUUUUUGUGGGUGUUGAUGUUCGAUCUGCUGCCCUCCUUAGUCUUUUCUCGAUUCGGCGAUAUUGUUGGAUUGAAGUGGCCCGGAUCAACCUUACUCGUAUGCUUACGAGAGACCGGUUUCAUCGACUAACAUGCAACUUGUUGCAUAAAGAUGACUGGCGGGUGUUUGUUUCUUCAACUUUGGUUGAAUCAUAUUUGACCGAGGCUGUCCUUGGAGAGAGGUUAAAUAGCAAUUUGCACAUCACCGUUGUGGUAUUGCGUAAGUAAGAUGUGAUCAUAUGUCACGCCCAAGAUGCGACCCUAUCCUCAAUUUGGUACGAAGGCCUCGUCAGGGAUAGAAGCGCAUCUCGUCGUGUCGCAAGAAUGGAUAUCGUUACAAGUACAUGUACUGAAAAGAUGAGAUAUAAAUAGAAUUAUCUUACACUCGCCACAAGCUACAUCAGAGUCAUAGCAGUACAAUACAUAAUCAUCAUGAAUAAGAGCAGGGUCCGACUACGGACGAAAACAAACGAGAAAAAAAGAACGGCGUCCAUCCUUGCUAUCCCAUGCUGCCGGCCUGGAACCCAUCCUAGAUCGAUGAUGAAGAAGAAGAAGAAGCAACUCCAAACGAACAAUCAACGCGCUCGCGUCAAAUAACCUUUACCUGUACCUGCAACUUGUGUUGUAGUAAUCUGUGAGCCGCAGGGGACUCAGCAAUCUCAUUUCCAAAGGUAUCAAGACUAGCAAAGCUUAAUGGGUGAGGUAUGGUUAAGUGGUGAGGUUGCAGUAGCGGCUAAGCAUAUAUUUGGUGGCUAACUUACGAGUACAAGAAAAUAAGAGGGGGAAGAUCUACGCAUAGCGGACGUGAACUACACAUGAUCAAAUGAAUGAUCCUGAACACCUACCUACGUCAGACAUAGCCCCACCAUGUCCUCGAUCGGAGAAGGAACUCACGAAAGAGAUAGUCACGGUUACGCACACAGUUGGCAAGUUUUAAUUAAGUUAACUUCAAGUUAUCUAGAACCAGUGUUAAACAAAGUUUCCACGUUGCCACAUAACCGCGGGCACGGCUUUCCGAAAGAUUUAACCCUGCAGGGGUGCUCCAAUGAGUCCAUCACAAAUUACCACAAGCCGCAUAGAAAUCCUCAAUCACGAAGCUCGCGAUCUCGUCGGAUUCCCUAGUGGAAAACCUCAACUCUGAGAUUACCCAAAGCAUCACCAGAAUCCCGAUGCACAAGAUAUCUCGUCAAAGGUAAAACUAAUCCAACAAGGCCGCCCGGCGUGUCGAUGAUCCCGAUAGGAGCCGAGUAUCUCGUUCUCAGGACACGAUGGAUAAGCUACGCGUACGAGUGCCAAACCUCGAGUUUCCUCACGGUGGCCCCGCACAAUGCUCUGUUUUGGACCAGCACCAUCAGCACUGGCCCUACCUGUAUUAUGUAGAAUUACUCCUCGGGUAGCGCUAACUCCCUAUGCAUUUCAAUUUAACAGAAUUAUUAUGUUGGGCAAAUGUAGUACCAAUGUUGGGCCUUGCCAGACCAGCUUUAAUCUAAAACGAAUUAUCAAGGGGGUCCCCAUAACACCCCCGAUCGUGUUAGGAGCACUCAAUUAUGGAACAUAACACCGGUAGCCGAAACUAAGGGGGGCAAAGGUGGAACAAAACACCAGGCUAGAAAGGCCGAGCCUUCCACCUUUUACCAAGUAUAUAGGUGCAUUAAAUUAAAUAGCAUUAAUAUGGUGAUAUGACAAGGACCCAUGCUUUCACAUGGAAGAAACUGCACCUGCAACUAGCAACGCUAACACAAGGUUAAGCAAGCGGUAACAUAGCCAAUCAGUGGUUUGCUAGGUCGAACAGGUUGAAGGUUUUCAUGGCAUUGUUGAGAGGCUGAUAUUUAACAUGUGGUAGGCAACGAGACAUAAACGAUAGAAGCGAUAAAACUAGCAUGGCAAUUAUAGUAAUGGUAUCUGGGGAAAUGGUCAUCUUGCCUGAGAUCCCGCUUGGAAUAAGAAUGCCUCCGUGAAGCAGACGAACCGACGUAGUCGAACGGGUCCUCACAAUCCGGCACGCUGCGAAACUCUAUCGAGACGAAGCAAACCGAAAACAAAAAUCAACACACGGAAUUCACCACACGAUGCACAACACAUAUGAUGCAUGAGCAGCUGAAUACAUGCAAGUCACGACAUGACAAUUCACGCAUACAGACACUACACAUUAAGUGAAGUUCAAUAUGCAACGAGUUGCAUAUUGACGAAACUCCACAUAUGAAUUAUUUAGGUCACUCCCGGUUAUUUACACGACAAUAUUAAUGUUGUCAAACAUGCAAGAGGUGAAGUGGAAAUUAAACUACCUAUCUAGACAUUUUAAAUGAGGUCGGAAAUGACAUAUAGCAUCUCCGAGACUACCUCACAUGCUAAUUUACAAUUCUGACCAGAUCUGAACGAACACAUUUAAAUAGUUGUUAAACAGAAAAACAAAUAGGUUCACGUGAUUCUACGCAUUAUUUCAAGCAAACUACAUAUAAAGAACAUCUCCAACGGAGCUACGGAUCAAAAGUUACAAGCACCGCAAGAUAUGAUGGCAUGAAUGCAAUAUGUGUGCAACGACGGUCACGAGCACUUCAAAACAUACAACCAGCAAGAGAAAAUGAAACUACACGAGAUUCUAAGCAAGUUUCAUGUAGGACGCGAUCAAAUCGGAGCUACGGUUCAACAACUACGAGCAAAACAAGAAAUCACUACAAUCUGUCAAAAUCAGCCACAUAGCAUUUUCUACGCCCCACAACUACGGGCUACACAACUCCGAUAAACUCAAGCAAGGCAUGACACGAAAGAGGGCAAGAAGCACUACUACAAACAACUAACAACAACUAGCAUGGCAUCAUGGAUCACUAGGGUAAGAAGACACAAAAAUGGCAUCUCACACACUAUUUCAGACUUAGUGAAAAUAACACUUCAUGAAAGUGCAGUUUUCGAUCUGAAGUCAUAUUGACAGCAACAAAACCUAUAGCUACAGGACUCCAAAUGGCAUGAAAAUUCACCGCAUGCUAGAGAAACACAAGGGCUACAACUAACUCCAUUGGACCAACCUCAAAAGAGCUACAGAUCACAAGAUACAAGCAAGACAAGACAACAACAAAAUAUAACAGAUUCCAUACUUAGAAAUAUUUCAGCACCUCCAAAUCAGCACUAUUUCUAGCAACUUGAGAGCAAGCAAACCACACCUAAACAUGCAUUUCUAUUGCAACCAAAAAUACCAGGGGCUAGACUAAACAUCCAAGAACAACUCCCUAGUUGACAACUUAAUCAAACGAAGCACGAAAUAAAUCCUACGAAAUAAACAAGAGGGCAACAUAGCAAAAUAUCGCGCGAACUAACUUGCUCUAAUGCUAAAACUAAUUGCACAGAAAAAUCCCCGGAAACAUAUAAAAAAUGUGGGGUUGCACAACAAAAAAUAUCGCCACACGUAAAUACGGGAGAAUGUCCUAAACACGGAAAAAUAAACUAGCGGCAAUUCCUACUCGCAAAAAUACCAACGCCUACUCUAAAAUACAUGGCAAUGGGGUUCCUAAAAUGUGAACAUUUCUACCACGGCAUUCGAACAACCCGGACACGCACGAGAAAAUAACACGGGACCAAGACGAUAUAAAUAGCACACAUAUCUAGGCAUUCGGCACGCUAAACUACAUCAAACAAAUAUGCAAGUUGUGAAAUUGUGUUCUAUGCGCAAAACUACACGAAAUCCAUAUACAAUACGUCGCGAUCCGACUAACGGAUAAAAAGAUACGGGCAUCUAAAUAUUUACCUAUUUAUCUGGAAUUUAUAUUAAUUCCUAAAUCAAGCUAAAUCAAUAAUGGGCCGAACGGGGUGCAAUACAGUAAGUUGCGCUGGGGGCAUGGGAUAGCUCACCUUGGGGGGGGGCUCGGGCCGGUUGGAGUAGUGGGCCGAGCAGGCCGAGGGACUCCUGGGCCGAAGGAGGCCGGCCCAGCUCGGCGCUGGAGAGCCCACUCGCGGAGGCGAGCGCUAGGGCACGCGCUGGCGAGGAGCGGUCCUUCCCUCGUCGGCUGCUCCCGAGCCCGCAGGCCGGCGGCGGCGACGCAAGACGGCGAGGUGGGGCUUCAGGCCGGCGACCUCGAAGGCAGCCAGCGGCGGGGAUGGAUCCGGCGGGGAGGUGGCCGCGGGAUCCGGCGAGGAAGCGAGGUGCGGCCGACGACGAGGCUGUCUACUGCGGGUUGGACACGCGCGACUUCUCGGCGAGGGCUCCGGUCGGGGCACGCCGGCGACGGCGAGCCGAGCAGGCGACGGUGACUCCCUGGCAGGCGGCGGCCGGCGGCAUGAGGCACAGGUUCGACCGGCUGGAGGAGCUCGGGCGCAGAGAGCUCUGCAGACGGCGGCGCUCGCCAUAUUGGCUCGGCCGGGCACGAUCUGGGCCUGGCGGGCCCGGCGGCACUGAGGAGGAGGUGUUGUGGGGAGAGAGAGGGUGCAGGAGAGACUAGGGUUUGCACGCUUUUCGAGGCAAAGGAGGGGGCUGUCUGAAAAUAAGCACGAGGGGAUUAUUUAUAGGCAAAGGGGGGGGGCUAGGUUUAGCGGUUUUUCGUCCCGGAUCCAACCGCGCGGUCGGAUUCGACUAAUUCCGAAUGCGUGACGGACGAGUGGCUGUGUAGAGUAUGUAUCCGGAGACGAGAGGGAAAGCGGGCGGCGCGGCAACGAUAUUUAAAACAUCGACAAACGUCCGACGGUAGACCGAAGACGGUGCCGCUACGGUCGACCAUUCGGGCACCAGACGAACCCUGAUCGCGAUGAAAUUCGACAGGCGGCCUAGCUAUAACUAAUCACGACUGCAUGUCAAGUUUCACCUUGACUAGAGAAAGUUUCCAACACACUUUUAAAACAGGGUUUGACGAUGCCGCGGGCGCGUGCGAGUGUGAACGGGCUCAGAACGAACAACGACGAGAACCGGCAACUAACAACGGAUGCAAGUUUGAAAACUCGCGACAACGGAGAUGCCGAUGCAAUGCAUAUGAUGUGAAUGAUGCGAUGACGAUGCAACAAAUAAAAAUACCCACACUACGGAAACGGAAAGGAAAGGAGAAUCUUCUGGAACGUCGAUCUCGGGCUGUCACAUCAUACUAGAUACCCAUAGCAGCCACGUAAAACAUGCAACAACAAAUUAGAGGAUGUCUAACUUGUUUUUGCAGGGUAUGCAUGUGAUGUGAUAUGGCCAAAGACAUGAUGUGAUAUAUUGGAUGUAUGAGAUGAUCAUGUUAUAACAGUUAAAUAUCGACUUGCACGUCGAUGCUACAACAACCGGCAGGAGCCAUAGGGUUGUCUUUAAACUAAUGUUUGUGUUUGGAGAUGCGUUUACUAUAUUGCCAGGUUGUAGCUUUAGUAGUAAUAGCAUAGAUAGCACGACAACCUCGAUGGUGGCACGAUGAUGGAGAUCAUGGUGUGGCGUCGGUGACAAUGAAGAUCAUGCCGGUGCUUUGGUGAUGGAGAUCAAGAAGCACAAGAUCAUGGCCAUAUUAUGUCGCUUACGAAUUGCAUGUGAUGUUAAUCCUUUUUAUGCACCUUAUUUUGCUUAGAACGAUGGUAGAAUUAUAAGGUGAUCCAUCACUAAAAUUUCAAGAUAAAAUUGUGUUCUCCCCGACUGUGCACCGUUGCGACAGUUCGUCGUUUCGAGACACCACGUAAUGAUCGGGUGUGAUAGACUCAACGUUCACAUACAACGGGUGCAAAACAGUUGCACACGCGGAACAUUUGGGUUAAACUUGACGAGCCUAGCAUGUACAAACAUGACCUCGGAACACAAGAGACCGAAAGGUCGAGCAUGAAUCAUAUAGUUGAUAGGAUCAACAUGGAGAUGUUCACCACUGAAACUAUACUCAACUCACGUGAUGAUCGGACUUGAGUUAGUGGAUUUGGAACAUGCGCCACUCAAAUGACUAGAGGGAUGUCUAUUUUGAGUGGGAGUUCUUAGUAAUAUGAUUAGCUAAACUCAAUUAUCAUGAACAUAGUCAAAAAGGUCUUUGCAAAUUAUGUUGUAGCUUGCGCUGUAGCUCUACCGUUUUUAUAUGUUCCUAGAGAAAAUUUAGUUGAAAGAUGAUAGUAGCAAUUCUGCGGACUGAGUCUGUAAACUGAGGAUUGUCUUCAUUGCUACGCAGAAGGCUUAUGUCCUUAAUGCACCGCUCGGUGUGCUGAACCUCGAGCGUCGUAUGUGGAUGUUGCGAACAUCCAACAUACACGUUUUUGAUGACUACGUGAUAGUUCAGGGCAUAAUGCUUAACGACUUAGAAUUGGGGCGUCGAAGACGUUUUGAAACGUCACGGAACAUAUGAGAUGUUCCAAGAGAUGAAAUUGGAAUUUCAUGCUCGUGCCCUUGCUAAGAGGUAUGAGAUCUCCGACAAGAUUCUUUGUCUACAAAGUAAGGGAGAAAAGCUCAAUCGUUGAGCAUGUGCUCAGAUUGUCUGAGUACUACAAUUGCUUGAAUCGAGUGGGAGUUGAUCUUCCAGAUGAGAUAGUGAUGGUUCUCCAAAGUCACUGCCAUCGAGCUACUAGAGCUUCGUGAUGAACUAUAAAAUAUCAAGGAUACAUAUGAUGAUCCUUGAUCUAUUCGCAAUGUUUGACACUGCGAAAGUAGAAAUCAAGUAGGAGCAUCAAUUGUUGAUGGUUAGUAAAACCACUAGUUUCAAGAAAGGGCAAGGGUAAGAAGGGAUACUUUAUGAAACGGCAAAACAGUUGCUGCUCUAAUGAAGAAACCCAGGGUUGAACCCAAACCCGAGACUAAGUGCUUCUGUUAUGAGGGAAACGGUCACUUAGGCGGAACUACCCUAGAUACUUGGUAGAUGAGAAGGCUGGCAAAGUCAACAAAAGUAUAUAGGAUAUACCUGAUAUUGAUGUGUACCUUACUAGUAUUCCUAGUAGCACCAGGGUAUUAGAUACCGGUUCAGUUGCUAAGUGUUAGUAACUCAAAGUUAUAGCUACGGAUUAGAAGGAUACUAGCAAGGGUGAGGUGACGAUGUGUGUUGGAAGUAAUUCUAAGGUUGAUGUGAUCAAAUAUCGCACGUUCCCUCUCCCAUUGGGAUUGGUGUUAAACCUAAAUAAUUUUUAUUUGGUGUUUGCGUUGAGCAUGAACAUGAUUGGAUCGUGGUUAUUGCAAUACGAUUAUUCAUUUAAAGAGAAUAAUGGUUAUUCUAUUUGCUUGAAUAAUUACCUUCAAUGGUUUAUUGAAUCUCGAUCAUAGUGCUACACAUGUUCAUAAUAUUGAUGCCAAAAGAUACAAAGUAGUAAUGAUAGUACCACUUACUUGUGGCACUACCACUUGAGUCAUGUUGGUAUAAAUUGCAUGAAGAAGCUCCAUGAUGAUGGAUCUUUGUACUCACUCAUUUUUGAAACGUUUGAGACAUGUAAACCAUACUUAUUGGUAUAAACGCAUGAAGAAACUCCAUGCAGAUGGAUCGUUUGGACAAACUUGAUUUUGAAUCACUUGAGACAUGCAAAUUAUACCACAUGGGCAAGAUGACAGAAUGCCUGGUUUUUCCAGUGAGAUGGAACAAGAAAGUAACUUGUUGGAAGUAAUACAUUUUUGAUGUGUGCAGUCCAAUGAGUGCCGAGGCACGCAGUGGAUAUCGUUAUGUUCUUACUUCACUGACGAUUUGAGUAGAUAUAGGAGUAUUUACUUGAUGAAUGACAAGUCUGAAAUAUUUAAAAGUUCAAAGCUAUUUCAGAGUGAAGAUCGUCGUGACAAGAUGAUAAACUGUCUACGAUAUGAUCAUAGAGAUGAAUAUCUGAGUUGCGAGUUUUGGUACACAGUUAAGACAAUGUGGAAAUUGUUUCGCAAUUCAUGCCACCUAGAACACCAUAGUGUGAUGGUGUGUCCGAACGUCAUAGCCGCGCCCUAUUGGAGAUAGCGGAUACUAUGAUGUCUCUUAUCGAAAUACCAUUAUUAUUUUGGGUUAGGCAUUAGAGACAACCGCAUUCACUUUAAAUAGGGCACCACGUAAUUCCGUUGAGAUGACAUCGUAUGAACUAUGGUUUGGAGAAACCUAAGUUGUCGAAACCUAAGCUGUCGUUUCUUGAAAGUUUGGGGCUACGAUGCUUAUGUGAAAAAGUUUCAGUCUGAUAAGCUCGAACCCAAAGCGGAUAAAUGCAUCUUCAUAGGAUAUCCAAAACAGUUGGGUACAUCUCCUAUCUCAGAUCCAGAAGCAAAUUGUUUGGUUCUAGAAAUGGGUCCUUUCUCGAGGAAAGGUUUCGCUCGAAAGAAUUGAGAGGGAGGGUGGUGGAACUUGAUGAGGUUAUUGAACCAUCACUUCAACCAGUGUGUAGCAGGGCGCAGGAAGUUGUUCAUGUGGCGCCUACGCCAGUUGAAGUGGAAACUGAUGAUAGUGAUCAUUAAGCUUCGGAUCAAGUUACUACAAACCUCGUAGGUCGACAAGGUCGCGUACUGCUACAGAGUAGUACGGUAACCCUGUCUUGGAGGUCAUGUUGUUGAACAACAAUGAACCUACGAGCUAUGGAGAAGCGAUGGUGGGCCCGGAUUCCGGCAAAUGGUGGAGGCCAUGAAGUCCGAGAGAGGAUCCGUGUAUAAAAACAAAGUAUAGACUUUGGAAGAACUAAUUUAUGGUCGUAAGACUAUUAAGUACAUAUGGAUCUUUAAAAGGAAGACAGACGAUGAUGGUGAAAAGUCACCAUUAAGAAAAGCUCAACUUAUCGCAAAAGAUGUUUCCGACAAGUUCAAAGAGUUGACCAUGAUGAGACUUUCUCACUCGUAGUGAUGCUAAAAGUCUGUUGGAAUUAUGUUCGCAGUUGCUGCAUUAUUUAUGAAAUAUUGCACAUAGGAUGUCAAAACAUUGUUUCCUCGACGGUUUCCUUGAGGAAAGGUUGUAUGUGAUACAACCAGAAGGUUUUGUGGAUCCUAAGGAUGCUAACAAGUAUGCAAGCUCCAGCGAUCCUUCUAUGGACUCGUGCAAACAUCUCGGAGUUGGAAUAUACGCUUUGAUGAGAUGAUCAAAGCUUUUGGGUUUAUACAAGGUUUAUGAGAAACUUGUAUUUCCAAAGAAGUGAGUGGGAGCACUAUAGAAUUUCUGAUAAGUAUAUGUGGAUAGAGCUAAUGUUGAUCGGAAGUAAUGUAGAAUUUUUUGAUCGGAAGUAAUGUAGAAUUUCUGGAAAGCAUAAAGGGUUGUUUGAAAGGAAUUUUUCAAAGGAAAACCUGGAUAGAGCUACUUGAAUAUUGAGCAUCAAGAUCUAUAGAGAUAGAUCAAAACGCUAAAUAGAACUUUCAAUGAAAUGCAUGCCUUGACAGGUUUUUGAAGGAGUUCAAAAUAGUCAGCAAAGAAGGAGUUCUUGGCUGUGUUGUAAGGUGUGAAUUUGAGUUAGACUCAAAGCCCGACCACGACAUAAGAAAGAGAAAGGACGAAGGUCGUCCCCUAUGCCUUAGCCGUAGGCUCUAAAGUAUGCCAUGUUGUGUACCGCACCUGAUGUGUGCCUUGCCAUAAGUCUGUCAAGGGGUACAAAGAGUGAUCCAGGAUUGAAUCACGGAACAACGGUCAAAGUUAUCCAUAGUAACUAAUGGACUAAGGAAUUUUUCUUGAUUAUGGAGGUGAUUAAUGAGUUCGCCCUAAAGGGUUACAUCGAUGCAAGCUUUGACACUAAUCAGAAUAACUUUAAGGAGUAAAGCAGAUUCGUAUAGUGGAGUAGUCAUUUGGAAUAGUUCCAAAUGGCACGUAGUAGAAGCAUCUACAGGAUACCAUUGGUAUUUGUAAAGCACACACAGAUCUGAAAGGUUCAGACUCAUUGACUAAAACCUCUCUCACAAGCAAGACGUGAUCAAACCCCAGAACUGUAUGGGUGUUGGAUUCGUUGAAAUCACAUAGUGAUGUGAACUAGAUUAUCGACUCUAGUGCAAGUGGGAGACUGUGGGAAAUAUGCCCCAGAGGCAAUAAUAAAUUAGUUAUUAUUAUAUUUCUUUGUUCAUGAUAAUCGUUUAUUAUCCAUGCUAUAAUUGUAUUGAUUGGAAACACAAAAUAAAUGUGUGGAUACAUAGACAAAACAUUGUCCCUAGUACGCCUCUAGUUGACUAGCUCCUUGAUCAAAGAUGGUCAAGGUUUCCUGACCAUAGACAAGUGUUAUCACUUGAUAACGGGAUCACAUCAUUGGGAGAAUGAUGUGAUGGACAAGACCCAAACUAUAAAUGUAGUAUAUGAUCGUGCCAGUUUAUUGCUACUAUUUUCUGCAUAUCAAUGUAUGUGUUCCUAUGACCAUGAGAUCAUGCAACUCCCGGACACCGGAGGAAUACCUUGUGUGUAUCAAACGCCGCAACGUAACUGGGUCACUAUAAAGGUGCUCUACAGGUAUCUACAAAGGUGUCUGUUGGGUUGGCAUGGAUCAAGACUGGGAUUUGUCACUCCGUGUGACGGAGAGGUAUCU
rnacentral:lncRNA from 1 species